GGUCCCAUGACUCUCAUGAUGACAUUUAAAAGUAAAUCUGCAACACAAUAAAGUGCGCUGCUGCCCUGAGCAAACAAAAUCACAGGGAACAGUGCACGGGAAUAAGCAAGGAGGAGCAGAGCAGGUCAGCUGUUAUUACCUGGGUGAUGACGCAGCAGCUUCACAGACAACCCCCUGGGAUUCCGCAGUGGGCAUGUAAUGGAUUCUGGGAGAGAAGAAGAGGAUAUUACAGCUCAACAUAACCUGCUGACCUCCACAAGUGAAAACAUUCAUCCCACAGCAGCAACACAGUCAAGUAAAAAGACACCAUAUUUAAAAUCAGAGACCACAGAGUCUUUGACUUAGUUCAGUCUGCAUUGUAAAACAGAGAAGAUGGUUGUCUGCAGACCUUCAGUUGUGCAUACAUAUUGGGCUCUCAACAGUAGAGAUGACAAAUGAAGAUGUGGCGACACACCACAGCCCUGUACCAGGGACAACAUAUGGGGGACGAUGGAUACAGCAGUUUCACCACAGCCAGCCAAUAAAUGUUAAUUUAUAAAAACACAUUCCUUAUAUAACUCCUUCCUGGAAAUCACACACCAAAGU